GAACAACCACAUAAAUUUCUUAGCUGUGAAUCACAAUGAGUUCACCACAAGUUGUAACAAUGAUUUGGACAAAAGUCAUAUACUUUAUGAUCUAUAAAAUUUUCAUAGUUUUCACAUCAUUUUCCUUAUUCAUUACUAACACAAUUUCACCACCACCACCACCACCAACACAUUCACCCAUUGCCAGUACCAACACUGCACCACAUUUGUCGUAAAAAAAUGCACUCAACCAUUAGGAAUGGUGGCUAUAGCAUCGAAAAGUUGGUGGGUGGGUUACAAGGAGGUGGAGAUUAUGGUAGUUGUGAAGAGUUCAGAUGGUGUUGAGUUCAAGUUGCAGAAAAAUGGUUGAUGGCUAUGGUGGUUAGGGAUAAUGGGUAGAUAUGGGGGAGCGGAAGAACCGGGAAGAAGAGAGAUGAAAGGGAGAAAGAGGGAAAGAACGGAAACAAUUUGAGGGUAUUUUAGUAACUUCAUAAAGUCCUUUUAAUGAUGUUAAAUGGAGUAAGAGUUACCUGACAGAGGUAGAAAGUAUGAUUUCGGAGAAUAAAGGGGUGUGUAAUGUGAUUCCAACAAAACAAUGGCCUUUGAGGUUUUUGAGUUUGGGAACAACGCCCCCUAAGCCAAAGCCUAAUAAAAGAAAAAGAACCCUGCACUGCUACACCUUUCCAGUCCGGCCAAAACCCAGCCGCUGCGCCACCAUCACCUCCAAACUGUAGCCACCACGCUACCAGACCACAGCACCGACCAGCAACCUCGACGAAAAACUGAUCGGAGCAUCGACCCAUCGGAGCAGAUCGGAGCCUAGCAGACUAGCUUCAACCUUGAACACCACCACCCGUACGGCAGCCACAACCCCGCGAGCAGCACCACCAAAAACGUCCACCUCUCGCCGUUAGGCCCAAAAAUUUACCCUUUUCCCAAUUCCCAACAGCAAAAAUCGGCGGUGGUCGAAGCGAACCGUCCGAAGCAACUACCACAGAUAUAACCCUAAUCUACCUCAGUCUACGCUCCCCAACCCAACGAAAACAGUUUUCAAACAUCUCUAAAGCAUUCAAAAAUGCCUUCUUUUCCCUCUCCUGGUUUAGUCACAAUCUGUGAAAUCAACAGAAACUUGAUUACGGCGACCGAGCCCCUCGCAGAUGACCAAGCUAAAGAAACCUACGCCAAAAUUCUCGGAACUGUGUUCAGUCCAGUUUCGUUUCAGAUGGACCAUCUAAUAUCAUCACCAAGUCCUGAACAAGGAUCGGAGCAACGAGGAAGGAUCAAAGAGAGUGAUCAAUGGAACAGCUGGUCAACGGCAUUGAGGGAGAUCUUUAGCGAUUCCCUCAAACGCCUUUUCCAUCUGGUUGAUGUAAAAUCUUUGCCAGCGGUUGAUCUUCACGGUGUGAGUUGGCAUCAGCAUAAACAUAUUUUAGCAUUCAUUUCUGGGCCUAAUCAUGUCACAAUUCGUGAUUAUGAGGAUUCAGAAGGGAAGGAACCAUUCAUUCUGACCCAUGAGUCCCAAAGAGAUGUUAAGCUCCUUGAGUGGCGGCCAAAUGGUGGAAGGACACUCUCUGUAGCAUGCAAGGGUGGAAUUUGCAUAUGGACAGCUAGUAAUCCUGGCAAUAUAGCAUCUGUCAGAUCUGGAGUUGCAUCUGGCACCCUAUCUAGGGGCUCCGGAGCUCGAUGGACUCUCGUGGAUUUUCUUCGAAGCCAUGAUGAUGAACAAAUUAGUGCACUUUCUUGGAGUCCAGAUGGAAGAUAUUUGGCAUCUGGUUCAUAUGAGAGCUCAUCGUUCACCAUCUGGGAUGUUGCUCAAGGCCUUGGCACACCCAUUCGACGGGGAUUAGGAGGCAUAUCAAUGCUGAAGUGGUCUCCCACUGGAGAUUAUUUUUUUGCAGCGAAGUUUGAUGGGACAUUUUAUCUUUGGGAGACGAACACUUGGACAUCAGAACCAUGGUCCUCAACCAGUGGCUUUGUCACGGGAGUGACAUGGGAUCCUGAUGGACGUAUGAUACUGGUUUCUUUCUCUGAUUCUUCAACAUUAGGUUCUAUUCAUUUUGCAUCAAAUCCUCCAUCACUAGAUGCACACCUUUUGCCGGUUGAUUUGCCGGAGGUGAAAUCAUUAACUCACAGUCGAGGCAUUGAGAAGAUAGCAUGGGAUGGUUCAGGUGAAAGAUUGGCUGUAUCGUAUAAAGAUGGGGAUGAGUUGUACAAGGGUCUCAUUGCCAUAUAUGAUGUUAGACGUUCUAAGCUGAUUUCUGCAUCACUAAUAGGGUUCAUUAGAGGGCCUGGAAACAAUCCAAGGCCAGUUGCAUUCUCGUUUCACGACAAGUUCAAACAAGGACCAUUGCUCUCUGUGUGUUGGAGCAGCGGAUUUUGCUGCACCUACCCUCUUAUAUUUCGGUCACAUGUUCUGCCCUAAUCCAGGUUCAAUUUAGAUGCUCUUCUUGAAUGGGUGAAAGAAUAUCCUAUGGUUUUUACAAUUCGGACCAGUAGACGUAGACCGUUUGAAGUAAAGUAUUUCCGUAGGUGAAGUUGGGUUCGCUCUGCUUUCUAACCGAGGCUUUUGUGCUCGCGUGGUAGAGGAGAUAUUGUUUGCCCUAACCUACUUGAAGUUUUGGAUAUCUGUGUUACAUUUUCUGCACUCCAUAUUCAAUAUCUGUAUCUAUGCAUUUCCGGGAAAUUGAAAUUUGCUUUUUUCGAGAUGGUGUUUAUAGCAGUUACAUCAAGAUUUUAGAAGUAGCAGUGGUCUGCUUGUUAGAGCAUCCCUUUUCUGAUAGCGGCUAGCAAACUGCUGAGAAAUGCAUCCAGCAGCCUGUGUCAUCCGGCAUAUUAGAAGUUAAGUGUUCUGGUCGAAGCUCAGGUGUAUGGUUUCAUGUAUCUUCAAGGCCUCUUGUUCUUGGCCUUUUGUUGUUUUUGCUGUUUUGGUUGGGUUUUGUAACGGAUCUAGUCUGUGCCCGAACCUUGUCUAUCUAUCUAUUGAUGUUCUACUUUUUCAAAAAAAGAAAAAAAAAAAGGAAAAAGAAAAAAUGGUGCAAGAGUUGCUACCCUUGUCGGGGGCGAUACUAUAGCACUAGCAAGCAAAUAGGAAUUUAAUCUUCAUUUUGUAUGAAAGUUUUCUCAUUUUUAUGAUAAUUAAAUUUGGAA